rnacentral:lncRNA from 1 species
CUGGAGCUGACUGAUUCAGGUAGACCAGCCAGCAACCCUGAGAGAUCCCCCUAGCUGUCUGCCUAGUGCUGGAGUUACGUGGGCUCUGGGGAUUUGAACUCAGGUCCCCAUGCUCAUGUAUCCCAUUUUACCCAGUGAGCCAUCUCCUUAGCCACUGACAUGCUAGAAUUGUUAUUCUAGGGAGAACAUCAUGCAAUUUCCAUCCCUGAGGCCCCUCUGUGGGCCAAGGCCAUGGUACCAGACCUCGGAGCUUCUCUCCUGGCUGCAGCUGGCAGGAAAACCCGAAGUCAGUGAGCUUGAUGUUCAUGUUGUCAUCCAGAAGGAUGUUCUCCGGCUUCAGGUCCCGAUGGACAAUGUUGAGUUUGUGCAAGGUGCAGACCACCUCCAGCAGGGCCCGCAUGAUCUUUCUGGAGGGAGAUCAUGGCGCUGGCUUAUUUUAUUUGUCUUAUUAUUGUUGCUACUGUUAUUGUUUUUCCAGAGAGGCUUUCUCUAUGUACCCUGGCUAUCCUGAAACACUCACAGCAGACCAGGCUGGCCUUGAACUCCGAAAUCUGCCUACCUCUGCCUCCCAAAUGUUUCAAUUAAAGUCUCAUACCACCAUA